CAUAAAUUCAUAUCUCUCUCUCUCUCUCCAUUCUGCAAAAAACAAUGGCUACCACCUCCACUGAAAUAACCCAAGAUUUUCCAGGCUUUUUCAAGGUAUACAAAGAUGGUAGCAUUGAAAGAUACUGGAAUUCAGAUUUUUCUUCUCCAGGAUUAGACCCUGAAACUGGAAUCCAAUCCAAAGAUGUUGUAAUCUCAGACAAAACUGGCGUAAAAGCUCGCAUCUUCCUCCCAAAACUUCACGAUUCAUCCC
rnacentral:misc_RNA from 1 species